rnacentral:rRNA from 1 species
GACAGAGGCCUCAAGCGUUAGGCGGAAUCACUGGGCUUAAAGCGUGUGUAGGCGGAUCGUUAAGUGUCUUGUGAAAUCCCACGGCUCACCCGUGGAACUGCUUGGUAUACUGGGUGUCUUGAGCCAUCUAGGGGCUACCGGAACAAAUGGUGGAGCGGUGAAAUGCGUAGAUAUCAUUUGGAACGCCAAUGGUGAAAACAGGUAGCUGGGGAUGUGCUGACGCUGAGACACGAAAGCCAGGGGAGCAAACGGG